rnacentral:rRNA from 1 species
GAUGAACGCUGGCGGCGUGCCUAAUACAUGCAAGUCGAGCGACCAGACGAGGAGUUUGCUCCUCUGACGUUAGCGGCGGACGGGUGAGUAACACGUGGAUAACCUACCUAUAAGACUGGGAUAACUUCGGGAAACCGGAGCUAAUACCGGCUAAUAUCUUGAACCGCAUGGUUCCAUAGUGACAGCCGGUUUUGCUGUCACUUAUAGAUGGAUCCGCGCCGCAUUAGCUAGUUGGUAAGGUAACGGCUUACCAAGGCAACGAUGCGUAGCCGACCUGAGAGGGUGAUCAGCCACACUGGAACUGAGACACGGUCCAGACUCCUACGGGAGGCAGCAGUAGGGAAUCUUCCGCAAUGGGCGAAAGCCUGACGGAGCAACGCCGCGUGAGUGAUGAAGGUCUUCGGAUCGUAAAACUCUGUUAUUAGGGAAGAACAAAUGUGUAAGUAACUAUGCACGUCUUGACGGUACCUAAUCAGAAAGCCACGGCUAACUACGUG